rnacentral:rRNA from 1 species
CCUACGGGAGGCAGCAGUGAGGAAUAUUGGUCAAUGGGCGAGAGCCUGAACCAGCCAAGUCGCGUGAAGGAUGAAGGUUCUAUGGUUUGUAAACUUCUUUUAUAUGGGAAUUAAGUGAGGAACGUGUUCCUUUUUGUAUGUACCAUAUGAAUCAGCAUCGGCUAACUCCGUGCCAGCAGCCGCGGUAAUACGGAGGAUGCGAGCGUUAUCCGGAUUUAUUGGGUUUAAAGGGUGCGUAGGUGGUUUAUUAAGUCAGCGGUGAAAGUUUGUGGCUCAACCAUAAAAUUGCCGUUGAUACUGGUUGACUUGAGUAUAUGUGAGGUAGGCGGAAUGCGUGGUGUAGGGGUGAAAUGCAUAGAGAUCACGAAGAACUCCGAUUGCGAAGGCAGCUUACUAGACUAUAACUGACACUGAUGCACGAAAGCGUGGGGAGCAAACAGGAUUAGAUACCCGGGUAGUC